AGAGGCGGCGAUUAGUCAAGGCGGGGAUUAUGUGUGAGGUGGGAGGUUUAGUCAAGGCGAGGUUUAGUGAGUUGAGGUUUAAGUGUGAGGUGAGGAUAGGAAUGGAUGAG